rnacentral:rRNA from 1 species
AUGCUGGCGGCGUGCCUAACACAUGCAAGUCGAGCGACAGCGAGUUUUACACUGAAUUCUGGAAGCUUCUGGGUAAUAUAGAAGAUCUAUUCAAGAAUUUUGUGUAAAAUGUCGGCGAGCGGCGGACGGCUGAGUAACGCGUAGGAAUUCGCCCCAAAGUGAGGAAUAACUGCCCGAAAGGGUAGCUAAUGCCGCAUAUGGUCUUCGGAUUAAAGCCUUCGGGCGCUUUGGGAGAAGCCUGCGUUGGAUUAGGUAGUUGGUAGGGUAAUGGCCUACCAAGCCGACGAUCCAUAGCUGGUCUGAGAGGAUGAUCAGCCAGACUGGAACUGAGACACGGUCCAGACUCCUACGGGAGGCAGCAGUGAGGAAUCUUCCACAAUGGGCGAAAGCCUGAUGGAGCAACGCCGCGUGAAGGAUGAGGGCCUUCGGGUUGUAAACUUCUUUUAUGAGUGAAGAAUAUGACGGUAACUCAUGAAUAAGCACCGGCUAACUACGUGCCAGCAGCCGCGGUCAUACGUAGGGUGCAAGCAUUAUCCGGAGUGACUGGGCGUAAAGAGUUGCGUAGGCGGUUUAAUAAGUGAAUAGUGAAACCUGGUGGCUCAACCAUACAGACUAUUAUUCAAACUGUUAAACUCGAGAAUGGUAGAGGUAACUGGAAUUUCUAGUGUAGGAGUGAAAUCCGUAGAUAUUAGAAGGAACACCGAUGGCGUAGGCAGGUUACUGGGCCAUUUCUGACGCUAAGGCACGAAAGCGUGGGGAGCGAACCGGAUUAGAUACCCGGGUAGUCCACGCCGUAAACGAUGGAUACUAGCUGUUGGAGGUAUCGACCCCUUCAGUAGCGAAGCUAACGCGUUAAGUAUCCCGCCUGUGGAGUGCGGCCGCAAGGCUAAAACAUAAAGGAAUUGACGGGGACCCGCACAAGCGG